UUUUUUGACUCGCUGCCGACUUUAUUCCCAGCAAAUUAAUAAUUUCCUCUCGCGGCAACAAUGCUGGCCUGUGUGUGUCGGUGUCUCCCACCGCCCUCCCAGACGCGCUUUCCCCCCGUCCCUGCUGUGCACGGAGGGUCCGUGCGGCUCGCCGCAGGUUCCUUGUCCUGGGCUCCUUCCAGCUGUGCGUAGCCAUCAUAUCCAGCCCAGCUGUGACGGCCGCCGCCGUGGGAGCAUCCCAACGCGAGCGCUGGGCCGGCUGCGAGCUGCCGGUGUGGGUGGCAGGGGUGGCGGGGAAGCACGUUGGGUGGCGGGGAGGGAUGACACGGGUCUGGGAAGCAGCUCUGGGCUUUGCAGCCUGUCUGGCUUGGUGGAACAGGAGAGCGAGCACACGGAGCGACCACCAGUAUACGCUUCCCUCCGUCCCUGCCUGUGCUGGAGAUGCAGCCGCAGCACAAACCCGGCUCGUGGGACGGGAGCACCGGGCACCCCAGCUGCCGCAAAGCACCUGGCACUCAAUCCCACGGCGGUAUGUGUCACCCAAGAGCGUUUGCACAGCUGUGCACGCUCGCACGAGCCCGUGCACAUGCGCUCGCCGCUCCUUGGAGCGCCCGUUUGCUCGAGCACGCACGUCCAUGGCCGUGCCCCACGCGUGCCCCUGCGCCAUCGCUCCCGUCACCUGCAGCACAGACACCUCUCACACAACAUGGCAUCCAGCAUUGAGGAGAUCUGCUGGGAACACAGUCCAUUCCACCCGCAGCACUGUGUUUUGUUCCUUAUUUAUAUCCCCCGGGGUGGUGCCACAGGUGGGCGAUUGUUCCAGCUGACAGCCCGAAAGGCAAAGAAACAAGAUUUAACUUCCUGCUAUUCAAUUAGAGAAAGUGAGCAUUCAUCACCAGCUGCUGGCUGCUGGCAGCAACGGUCCCACCCGCCGCGGCGGGCGCAGGAAAAGCUCCUUUCGGCAGGAAAGGGCCUGCUGCCGUGGCACCGCGGGCUCCGGCACGGCUCACAGCGCCGCUCCCAGAGCCCCUCGGGGCUCAGGGUAUCUUCCAAGCUGGUUGCGAUCAUCAGGGAUACAGUUGGAAUCCGUUUCGCAUUGCUGCACCGAGCCGCAUGCAGGCGCGUACGUUCACAUGCCGACACGCACGCCGGCUGCCGUGCCAGACUUUGCAGCGCUGUCACUCUCCCCCGUUGGAGAAGACGGACACCCCGCCGGGUAGGGCCGAGCUGAGCUCAGCACCUCGCACGAACAUGGGUUAUUACCCCAGAUUAAGAAGGUAACACGCCGCAGCCAAGACAAUCAACAGCAAUUAGCCCUUUUGGGAACUCGACUUGAAAUGCUGCAGAGGCUCUUCCGUGCGUGCCGAUUGCUCUUCCUCCGGCCCUUUGGAAGUGACGUGAGUUGGAUGUGCCAAACCACCGGUCAUGUCUGAGCAGAACAUGGUGCCUCGUGUCAUUUCCAUGAGGCUGGGAGGGCUCGGGGGGGAUGUCUGUGAGCGUCAAAGGCACUUGUGUGCCCAAGCAGUGAACGCAACUGCUGUCAUUACCUCUGCAAUGCCAUCUGGCCAGCAGCGACGCAGCUAGAACCAGGGCUGUGCGCAGAAGAACAUUUUACAACAGAAAGCAAUUAAACGAAUAAAGCCCUUUUUAAAAUCCAGUAAUUAAAAA